rnacentral:rRNA from 1 species
UACGGAGGGUGCAAGCGUUAUCCGGAUUCACUGGGUUUAAAGGGUGCGUAGGUGGGUUGGUAAGUCAGUGGUGAAAUCUCCGAGCUUAACUUGGAAACUGCCAUUGAUACUAUCAGUCUUGAAUACCGUGGAGGUCAGCGGAAUAUGUCAUGUAGCGGUGAAAUGCUUAGAUAUGACAUAGAACACCAAUUGCGAAGGCAGCUGACUACGCGAAUAUUGACACUGAUGCACGAAAGCGUGGGGAGCAAACAGG